UGGCUCUCGCAUCGAUGAAGAACGCAGCGAAAUGCGAUAAGUAAUGUGAAUUGCAGAAUUCAGUGAAUCAUCGAAUCUUUGAACGCACCUUGCGCUCCUUGGUAUUCCGAGGAGCAUGCCUGUUUGAGUGUCAUUAAAUUCUCAACCUCACCCAUUUCGUCAUGAAGUGGUCGUGUAGGCUUGGAUGUGGAGGUGUUGCAGGUCCAGCUCUAUGUGGUCGGUCUGCUCCUCUGAAAUGCAUUAGUGGGUUGUGCCCCUCAUCUAUUGGUGUGAUAAUUAUCUACGCCGUGGAUCAGUGUUGGCAACAAUGAAAGACCCGCUUCUAACCGUCCGACUCGGACAAUGAUGACAUUUUUGACCUCAAAUCAGGUAAGACUACCCGCUGA
rnacentral:misc_RNA from 1 species